UACGAGGGGGGCAAGCGUUGUUCGGAAUUAUUGGGCGUAAAGGGCGCGUAGGCGGUGCGGUAAGUCACCUGUGAAACCUCUAGGCUUAACCUAGAGCCUGCAGGCGAAACUGCCGUGCUUGAGGGUGGGAGAGGUGCGUGGAAUUCCCGGUGUAGCGGUGAAAUGCGUAGAUAUCGGAAGGAACACCGGUGGCGAAGGCGGCGCGCUGGACCCCUUCUGACGCUGAGGCGCGAAAGCCAGGGGAGCAAACGGG
rnacentral:rRNA from 1 species